rnacentral:rRNA from 1 species
ACGGAAGGCAGCAGUGGGGAAUAUUGGACAAUGGGCGCAAGCCUGAUGCAGCGAUGCCGCGUGAGGGAAGAAGGUUUUCGGAUUGUAAACCUCUGUCAACAGGGACGAAAAUGACGGGACCUGUGAAGGAAGCUCCGGCUAACUACGUGCCAGCAGCCGCGGGAAUACGUAGGGAGCAAGCGUUAUCCGGAAUUACUGGGUGUAAAGGGAGUGUAGGCGGGACUGUAAGCCAGAUGUGAAAUAUGCCGGCUCAACUGGCAGACUGCAUUUGAAACUGCGGUUCUUGAGUGAAGUAGAGGUAAGCGGAAUUCCUAGUGUAGCGGUGAAAUGCGUAGAUAUGAGGAGGAACAUCAGUGGCGAAGGCGGCUUACUGGGAUUUAACUGACGCUGAGGCUCGAAAGUGUGGGGAGCAAACAGGAUUAGAUACCCUGGUA